UACGAGGGGUGCAAGCGUUGCUCGGAAUUAUUGGGCGUAAAGGGUAGGUAGGUGGUCUUAUUUGUCUGAGGUGAAAUCCCGGGGCUUAACUCCGGAAGUGCCUUAGAAACGGUAAGACUUGAGUACUAGAGGGGUUUGUGGAAUUCCCGGUGUAGCGGUGAAAUGCGUAGAGAUCGGGAGGAACACCAGCAGCGAAGGCGACGAACUGGCUAGAGACUGACACUCAACUACGAAAGCGUGGGUAGCAAACAGG
rnacentral:rRNA from 1 species